GACGAACGCUGGCGGCGUGCUUAACACAUGCAAGUCGAACGGAAAGGCCCUGCUUUUGUGGGGUGCUCGAGUGGCGAACGGGUGAGUAACACGUGAGUAACCUGCCCUUGACUUUGGGAUAACUUCAGGAAACUGGGGCUAAUACCGGAUAGGAGCUCCUGCUGCAUGGUGGGGGUUGGAAAGUUUCGGCGGUUGGGGAUGGACUCGCGGCUUAUCAGCUUGUUGGUGGGGUAGUGGCUUACCAAGGCUUUGACGGGUAGCCGGCCUGAGAGGGUGACCGGCCACAUUGGGACUGAGAUACGGCCCAGACUCCUACGGGAGGCAGCAGUGGGGAAUAUUGCACAAUGGGCGGAAGCCGGAUGCAGAAACGCCGCGUGCGGGAUGACGGCCUUCGGGUUGUAAACCGCUUUCGCCUGUGACGAAGCGUGAGUGACGGUAAUGGGUAAAGAAGCACCGGCUAACUACGU
rnacentral:rRNA from 1 species